AAUGAAAAAUGGAGGAUUGUCAAGAACGUUUAUAAAUACCGCUUUUUCAUUUGUUUUGAACGUUUAUUUUUAUUAUAUUAACAUGCGCAUGCGUGUAUAUAAUGUCUACAAAUUUCGUACAUCUGCCACACAAAGUACACAAUAAAUAAAAAUUAUUUUUUUCAGUUCUAUGAAUUCCGUCCGCAUCGUGUCGUCAAUUUAAUAAUUAUCGGCGAUUAUAGAGUGGUCUCAAUAGGAUAUUUAGAUAAACAGACCACGGACGUUACUGGAGUUUCCAAUACAGGCAUUUAUUUCUUAUCUGUCAGAGGCUGAAAUAUGUCGAACUUUGUCAAAUUCACACCUCUUAGGUCUACUACAGAUUGUACUUUUUGGGCUAAAUUUGCAGAACUGAAAAUAGAUAAAUUCAAAUUGGAUGAAAAAUCAGUAAUUAAUUUAUGGGGAAUGUACAAUCUCGAAUCUCUACAAGAAGAGAAUAAUAAUCCAUUAGUAAUGGAUUGCACAUCAUUCAAUGAAGAUACGGAAACAUUUAAUCAUAAUUCAUCUGUAGUUUGUUCGGGGCACAUGAUUAAUACCAAUACUUUUGAAUCAUUUCGAAAGAUAGAUCCUGAGAAACUUAUUGAUACUGUUGGAAAGGAUUUAAUUAUUAGUAUUCAAGAUGGAUCAGUAUUACAGAAACCAUGGAAAUUGUCACUAUUUUUAAUUGUGGCUUAUUCAGAUUUAAAAAAGUAUAGAUUUCAUUAUUGGGUUGCGCAUCCUACUCCUUCAAAAUUGCCUGAAAUGUAUUAUCAGGGGAAUCCAAAACUAGUUGAUGAAGAAUUCCCGAAUACUUUUGAUAAUCUAUGUAAAGGCUUUUCUCAAUUGGAUAGCAGAUCUAAAAAUUAUUUUUCUGUCUUAAUAUCUAAGGAAGGUGACAUGAGUAUUGUUGACUUAGCAACAGGAGUUAAUACUAUUAUGACAAAUGCAGCUGAUUCAAAAGGAUUGCAGGAUAACAGCGAAGUUUACUUUGCAUUUUAUGAUCCUUGUACAAGUAUUCAACCUGGGUGGCCAUUACGCAAUUUGCUGUGUCUAUUGUUCUGGCACUGUCCUACAUAUUGCUUCACAAAAAUUAUUAAAAUUAUAUCUGUACGAGGAAAUAAAGCACACAAAAGUAUUGUUUUCAAAUUAAAAACUAAGGAAUAUGAUGAUUCCAAAGCAUUUAGAGAAACUAUAUUUGAUUGUCCUUUGGUUGGCUGGGAGAGAAACGCAGCUGGUAAAAUGGGCCCUACUAUAAUUGAUUUAUCACAUUACAUGGAUCCAGCCAAAUUGUUGGAUAGAGCUAUUAACCUGAACUUGAAAUUAAUGAAAUGGCGUCUGGUCCCAGAUUUAGAUUUAGAAAAGGUUAGUAAUCUUAGAUGCCUUCUAUUGGGUGCUGGCACUUUGGGUUGUGCUGUAGCAAGAGUACUUCUUGGAUGGGGAGUGAACAACAUAACUUUUGUUGAUAGCUCCAAUGUUUCUCAUAGUAACACUGUGAGACAAAGUUUAUAUAAUCAUGAAGAUGCUGUGAAACAUAAGUACAAGGCUCAUGCAGCUAGAGACGCACUGCUUAGUAUCAGACCAACUAUGAACGCAAAUGGCGUGGUCCUACACAUCCCAAUGCCUGGACACGUUGUUGGUCAAAGUAUGAUGGCGUCUACAAAAAAAUCACUGGAACAAUUAGAGGAUCUUGUCGAGAAGAACGACGUAGUUUUUCUUUUAUUGGAUUCCCGUGAAGCCAGGUGGUUACCCACUGUUCUAUGCGCAGCGAUGAACAAAAUCGCUAUCAACGCAGCUUUAGGCUUCGACUCGUAUACAGUGCAGAGGCACGGUACACGCGAUCUUUCAGUUCCGUUUUCUCCAGAUUUGGAUAUAAAGAAUCCUUGUGGUGUAGAUUUGGGUUGUUACUUUUGUAACGACGUAACACAGCCAGGAAAUUCACAAACUGAUAGAACAUUGGACCAACAAUGCACCGUUAGUAGGCCAGGUUUAUCACAAAUGGCUGCAGGAUUAGCUGUUGAAUUACUGGUAGCCAUAACACAACAUCCUCAGGGCAUCGAAGCUAGAGCAUUAGUGGGUAAUAACAGGGACAGUAUUAGUCAAAACGAUACUGAAUUAGUUGGACUGUUAGGAUGUGUGCCGCAUACGAUACGCGGGUCUCUCUGGAAUUAUGAUAUGCAGUUGACAAUUACGCAUAGGUUCACUGCCUGCACAGCGUGUUCUGUGCCUGUUAUCACGGAAUAUAAAAACCGUGGUUUAUCGUUUGUAUUGGAUGCGUGCAAUGUGCCGAAUUACUUAGAAAAUUUGUCUGGAUUGGAACAGAUAUUGAAAAGAUCCGAUAUAGAGGAUCUUUGCUAUGCGUUGGAUAACAUAAGCGACGACGAAGAAGAUCAAAAAAGUGAUAUGCCUUGAAAACUCAUCACACGUGUACACAUUUUACCUUGGACGAAGAUGCGUUGUUACAUGUACAUAGAUUAAGAUCGCGCUGCAACGGGCAAAUACCAUACAUUCCAUUGUAAUGUUGAAGUAGUGGGGAAGCGAGGCUGUCUCUCGUAUGUCAAGCAGCCUGUGUUCCGUGUGUCCGCCCGCAUACCAUUAGAUUUUCAUCAUUUUCAAUGAAAAUACGUGCCGUGUGUUAAUUCGACAUGCCAUCGUACGUCGUGCCGAAUGUUUGAUCGCAGUUUCGCGCGGGUGUCAUCGCGUAACGUUCGUAUUGGUUAUGGCUGUAUGCGUGUGUGUGCAUUGCAUGCUGUAUGCAUUGUUACGCGAUACUCAAAUGCGUUCAACGUUUCGUUGAUUCAUCGCUUUCAACAAAUUCCGUUUACCGAUAAUUUUUUAUCGUUAUCAAACUUUGGCGGUCUCUGAAAUCCGGUAAUCUACUUACGCCGAAACACUACGGGAGGUAUCAUGUAAUAUUUUCCAAACAAACUAAAAAGAAUAACGCGAUAAUUAAUGUGGUGAUUAAAUUUUAUCGAGAAUCGGACAAGCGUAAAUUGCGAGAGUUAAUCGAGGAGUAAGCAAAUAACGUGGAAGGGUUGCGUUUGUGGACUUUCCAUUUUACGAAGAGCAAAGAGGAAUGCGAGAGUAUCGAGAGAUAGGGUAAUUCCUGGAAAGAAUGUCAAUUUCGAGAGGCCAUUGUUUAUAUCGUUCGAAUGAAAUUGCGAUGCCGUACGACGCCGGUUGCGUGGAAGUUUGGAAAGAGAGCAGGGGGCGUGAUACGGGAGUGAGAAGAGAAACAGUGGCUAGUGAUGGACUCAAGAAGUUGUAGAAUUCAUGUUUCAUAGCAGGAAUGUGCAGCAAUGUCCCAAUAUCGAGAACCCUGAAGUAUUCAUCUGAAGUCUCCAUAAGCUUUCCAUAAGGAUAUGAUCACCUGCUUCCUAUCAACAAAUCCAGCAAAUCCUCAACAUCCAUCAAAUUCGUCAUCAGUUUGAAAUUUGAAAGAAGUGGACCGUUUCAGAAUUAGAAGCAAUGCAAGACUUCCAGAAAUGACCUACUUUUGAAGUCCUCACUUUACAUCCGACAAAGAGCCAUUUCGUGUUAAAGACUGUUCUCAUCUAACGUUCGAAACUGUUCAAAAUCCGAUUCGUGUAGCGUGUCGAGUCUAUCGCUAGUCCAGCGCGCUAACGCGGAUUCCUACGUCGGUGCCGGGCUUCCAGCGGUUGCUCGUGGACGAGCACCUACAUCGGGCCGUCCUUCUAUUAACGAACUCGUCA